GCAAGAGGCGUUUUUCUUGAGAGGCAUGCACUCUAAGGGAUCAAUCUUGCAAUCAUACAUGGUUUUAUCUGCAGUAAUAUUCAGUAUGUUCAGGUUUAACAGAAUUUGCAUGCCAAGCUGGUCAAAUCCUAGCAUGAAGGUGUCUGGGCGCCUACAGAAGGCGGACAACUUACUGACCACCGUGUGGCUCUCAGUAAAGCGGGUUGCUGCUGCUAACACUCCUCCAUGUUCAUGAAGAGUGCACAUAGAUCCAGUAAAGACUAUGCCACAGAACCUAUCCAAGGAUGUCUCAAAAUCAUGCAAGCAAGAGGAAUGGACAAUCUCUGGAAGAAAUCCAGCAUACUGUAACAUAAACAGUGUGCCCUCUAGAGAGGUCUGUCCGUUGAACUCUAUCACACACACGCGUUUCUGUGCAUGGGGUGGUGCUCUGAAAGAUCUCACUGGAGAUGUUAAAAAGUACCUAGAUACUCCAGGAAAAUUAAACUGGUUGUGUCCGUAUUCAAUGGCAUAAAUGGACCUACGAGGUCCGAGGUGGGUGCACAGCAGGGUUGACUCAUCAACAUGUCUUCUGCGCCAACAUCCAACUACAUUGAAAAAUGGAACAGAUAGAAGAUUCUCUGACUUGUGAAAAACAGAAAAUGUGGAUGACUCAGUUAAUGGGACCACACGACCGAUAGGCAUGGCAACACAGCUGUUUUCUUGAAGGAAGGUUAAAAUGGCGUCUGUGGAGUCAUUGUCAACCUCAAUCACAUAUCCUGGAGUUUCAGAAAGAAGCAUUGCUUUUGGAUUAGCAAUAUGGUCUGGCAGUGUCAUGACUACAGAUUUUCCUCCAGACAUGGCCAUUUCUGCCACACAUGUCAAAAGUCCUCCGUCACUAACAUCAUGGAUGCUUCUAAUUUUAUCUUGUUCAAAAAGUUUUUGGGUAUUAGUUAGCAACUUGAAUAGGGCAUUAACAGAUAUUUGUGGUAGGCGGUGAAUUGGCACGUGAGGAUUGAAAGUCUUGAAAAUAGAACCUGCCAGUGUUGGUUGACUGUGUAUUGGUAACCACAACAAUGUGUUGUGAUGUUCUUUUAAAUUGGGUCCUAUUCUUCCUCUCCAGGGAAAAUCCACUAUGCAUUUAGCAGAGAACACAAUGAGUGGACUGUUUAUGUCACAGUUUCUAGGAUUUUUGGCAGCCAUGUCACACAUAAAAGUACAUCCCAUCAUUGUACACAUGUUUUUACAUUCUGCAAUGGCAUCGUAUAGUUCUGAAUGUGCCACGUCAGCUUGACUGCAGGUAACUGAGCAAGUUAUUAUUGUUUUUUCAAGUGUUGCACCAGGGCAGGUGUUCAGAUUUAGUAAGGCUUCCACUAAGCCAUAGGUGGACCCCAAGAUGGGAUCCUCUUUAACCUUGUAAUGCUGCUCACCAAUAGCAGAGGCUACACAUUCUAGUCUUGGAACAUCGGAAGUAGAUGGAUCACAGAACCAGAUGUCUGGAUCGGACAUUAUCCUGUUGACCAUCUCCGAAGAAGUAACAACUGUUAGGUCAGAGGUCCAACUUUUAGUGUUAUGUAUACUGUUUAAGGACACAAGUGAAUGAUCAGCCACUGGAAAGUCAAAGGGGCCACACCCUGGUUGUUGAACAACUCUUCCAUUAGCAACCCUCCUGAUAUGUGUAAGGAUGUAUUCCUUGCUUUCAACCGCUGGAUGAGUAAUGAUGUCAGACCACACCUGUCUCAGAUUUAGAGAAGCCCAGUUGAGGGCGCCAUCUUCUCUAGAGGGGCGUGGCGCUGACGCGGCAAGACCUCCUGUUUGACCAUGAUCAUAGUCUAGUGGAAUGGUUAGCAUAAUGUCAGCGGUGUCAUAUGUCACAGCAACUGGAUUUGAUGUGGAUGAUAUUAUAUGCAGAUUGGGUUCAGUGCAACACUUGCCCACGAUGGAGCAUGCAACUUCAUAUUUGGCACAUAGGUUAAUUAGAUGUUCUAUGGUACCAACAGACUCUUGUGUUUCUUGAAUGGUUCCAGUUUCAUUCUGGACAAGUAAGAAUACUUGAUCUGUUGUCACAUUAAGGAAUUUAGUCCUGAUUCCUCUUUCCAAUUCCUCCUGAGUUCUGUUUCUCAGACCAUGACAUACUGGAUCUGGCAAAUCAUUGAUGUCAAUUAAUGCUCCCAUGGGAGAUAACAGUUCAGUGAGUAUUUCUUGGAUGGAGCACCUGACCUGUGGCAUCAUGGACCGGAUGUAACAGGCGUGAGAAAGGUCUUUGGUCCAUUCUUGUAAUACUCUUGUGAGCUUUCUAACAGUUAAUGGGCUGCUGUCAUAGCCAUAUGGGGGGCCGUCUGGGCGAUAGAGGGGACAGAAACUUCCAACAGCAACAAUGAAGGUAUUGCAGGGGUCUGCAGGUCGGUUAUGGGAGACAUAGUCAUCUUUAGAUAACUUACUUAUAAAAUUGACAAAAUUGACUUCUGUUGGGAAGGUUAGUUGGUUAGAAGAGAUUGGGCGAAUAAACCCCCCAGUCACUGGAACACCAGAUGCUCUAAGAUGGUCUGAUCUGGCUUUGAGGAGCAUGGUAAGUAUGCAUGGGGCGAGUGGAUUAUCCCCCACAGUCUGAUUGCAGAUGAGAUAGGAGCCACCGUUGAUUGCUACAGGGAUGACUCCUGGCAUGUUACUAAUGGAUGACAGGUUGGCAUGUAAGAAAUUUCCUGGUCCUGUAAUUGUGGUGUGGUGGCAGGUGGCCAUUUCACUUCCUGUUAGUUUUAUCAUGGUAGGUACAGCUUCUGGAAAGGUUGAGAGGCUGUUCGCGUAGGUGGUACGCCCAAGCCCUUGGGCCAACAUAAUGUUUGCGUGGACAGCAUCUGGUUCUGAGGACAGGACAGUGGGGCUAGUCAGGCGACUGGAGGGUUCGAAGGUAGAUAGGUGGUCAUAUUCCAGCUGUGUACGCUCUCUGCCAUAUAUGAACCAGUACAGUAGUUCUAUCAUUACAAGUAUGGCGGCGUUUGGUUGGGUAUAGAUUCCACAUAUCCUCCUAGAAUAGUCCAUUCGCGUGGUUCCCAUAGGAAGAAUAUAUCCCAGGAGUUCUGUCAGUUCAUUGCACCAGGUCAGGGGCCGUUGCCCAGGGAAGGGUCCAUAAAUAAAAUCUAGCCGCUGGGCAUCGCCAUGCCCAUCAUCUGGGGGCUCUCUGGUGCUAUCAAGCGUGAGAUCGCUGCAGGUGAGGCGUGCUGCCACCUGUAUCCAUCGCCUAAUUCGUCUCGAGCUGGCACGCCCAUUCCUGGUCCGACUGUUCCUUAUAGUCAAGGUGAGGACACCGCAUAUACUGGUGCUUCGGAGAGGAAAGUGAAUUGUUCUUGACAGUAUUAGUCUGUUAAGGACAUGUUCCUCCAAUGUGGUCCUGGCCCUGGCAUAGACUUGGAUUGCCCAGACGUCCUCAUCCAUUUCUGUGGUGUUUAAUGUUUAAGUGUAAAGGUCUGGAUUUUGGAAAGUCCCACCUAAGCCGAGGAGGGUCGAGGAAUAUUGAUUUUUGUAGACUCUAAUAUUGCAAAUCAGACACAGGUUGUCCUUAUCAGGUUUCUCUUGCUGCCAGUGCCCAUAAGAGCAGGUGGUGCAGACACUGUCUCCAGGGACUCUCUUGUGCCUCCUGGUCGUCUAGGUGUUGCCAUUGGUGCAAGUACAGCGAGUCUGUGGGGUUAAACACCAUAGUGCAUGCUCUCCCAUCAUAACUGCAGAGUGCAGCUACGUUAGUGCCGCCAGAGGGGUUUCUAGGAUAGUAUGUGGCGGGGGCGGUUCCAUCUGCAGUUGCAAACCUGGCAGCAAUCAGCCCAGGGCUAAGUGUAUCACCUGAAGACGAAGAGGAAAUGUCAAUCCCCAAGUGGGUACCGCAUGCCCAGGCCGGACAAGCUGAGCCAUGCAAGGGUCUAAAGAAGAUGCUGUUCGAGGGGGGUAGCGACACAUUCAGCCAAAGACUCUGCAGAAGAGGUACCUUGUUUGCUGUAAGACGAGGCCUGUUAAUCAGUUCCUCCAACUCUGUGGCGAUGAAGGGGCGAUCACACCUCCAUUCUGUUAAGUUAAGAGCAAGGAGUACUUGGGUGGCAAACUCUCCAAAUCCUAGAAUAAAAGUGUGUUUUUGCUGAUAAAA
rnacentral:lncRNA from 1 species